GACGAACGCUGGCGGCGUGCUUAACACAUGCAAGUCGAACGGAAAGGCCCUGCAGUUGUGGGGUGCUCGAGUGGCGAACGGGUGAGUAACACGUGAGUAACCUGCCCUUGACUAUGGGAUAACUUCAGGAAACUGGGGCUAAUACCGGAUAGGAGCUCCUGCUGCAUGGUGGGGGUUGGAAAGAUUCGGCGGUUGGGGAUGGACUCGCGGCUGAUCAGCUUGUGGGUGGGGUAGUGGCUUACCAAGGCUUUGGCGGGGAGCCGGACUCAGAGGGUGACCGGCCACAUUGGGACUGAGAUACGGCCCAGGCUCCUACGGGAGGGAGCAGUAGGAAAUGUUACACAAUGGGCGGAAGCCUAAUGCAGAAGCGCCGCGUGCGGGAUGACGACCUUCGGGUUGUGUUCCACUUUCGCCUGGGAUGAGACGUGAGUGACGGUAAUAUGUAAAGAAGCACCGGCUAACUACGUG
rnacentral:rRNA from 1 species